rnacentral:rRNA from 1 species
GGUAAUGGCUCACCAAGGCGACGACGGGUAGCCGGCCUGAGAGGGCGACCGGCCACACUGGGACUGAGACACGGCCCAGACUCCUACGGGAGGCACCAGUGGGGAAUAUUGGGCAAUGGAGGGAACUCUGACCCAGCGACGCCGCGUGCGGGAUGAAGGCCUUCGGGUUGUAAACCGCUUUCAGCAAGGAAGAAGCGAAAGUGACGGUACUUGCAGAAGAAGCACCGGCUAACUAUGUGCCAGCAGCCGCGGUAAUACAUAGGGUGCAAGCGUUGUCCGGAAUUAUUGGGCGUAAAGAGCUCGUAGGUGGUUCGUCACGUCGGAUGUGAAAGUCUGGGGCUUAACCCCAGACCUGCAUUCGAUACGGGCGAGCUAGAGUGUGGUAGGGGAGACUGGAAUUCCU